rnacentral:rRNA from 1 species
GGCUCAGAUUGAACGCUGGCGGCAGGCUUAACACAUGCAAGUCGAACGGUAGCAGGAAGAAAGCUUGCUUUCUUUGCUGACGAGUGGCGGACGGGUGAGUAAUGCUUGGGAAUCUGGCUUAUGGAGGGGGAUAACUGUGGGAAACUGCAGCUAAUACCGCGUAUUCUCUGAGGAGGAAAGGGUGGGACCUUAGGGCCACCUGCCAUAAGAUGAGCCCAAGUGGGAUUAGGUAGUUGGUGGGGUAAAGGCCUACCAAGCCUGCGAUCUCUAGCUGGUCUGAGAGGAUGACCAGCCACACUGGAACUGAGACACGGUCCAGACUCCUACGGGAGGCAGCAGUGGGGAAUAUUGCGCAAUGGGGGGAACCCUGACGCAGCCAUGCCGCGUGAAUGAAGAAGGCCUUCGGGUUGUAAAGUUCUUUCGGUAAUGAGGAAGGGAUGUUGUUAAAUAGAUAGCAUCAUUGACGUUAAUUACAGAAGAAGCACCGGCUAACUCCGUGCCAGCAGCCGCGGUAAUACGGAGGGUGCGAGCGUUAAUCGGAAUAACUGGGCGUAAAGGGCACGCAGGCGGACUUUUAAGUGAGAUGUGAAAUCCCCGAGCUUAACUUGGGAACUGCAUUUCAGACUGGGAGUCUAGAGUACUUUAGGGAGGGGUAGAAUUCCACGUGUAGCGGUGAAAUGCGUAGAGAUGUGGAGGAAUACCGAAGGCGAAGGCAGCCCCUUGGGAAUGUACUGACGCUCAUGUGCGAAAGCGUGGGGAGCAAACAGGAUUAGAUACCCUGGUAGUCCACGCUGUAAACGCUGUCGAUUUGGGGAUUGGGCUAUAUGCUUGGUGCCCGAAGCUAACGUGAUAAAUCGACCGCCUGGGGAGUACGGCCGCAAGGUUAAAACUCAAAUGAAUUGACGGGGGC